AUUGAACGCUGGCGGCAGGCCUAACACAUGCAAGUCGAACGAGUGGCGGACGGGUGAGUAAUGUCUGGGAAACUGCCUGAUGGAGGGGGAUAACUACUGGAAACGGUAGCUAAUACCGCAUACCAUCAGAUGUGCCCCGAUGGGAUUAGUUUGGUGGUGGGGUAACGGCACACCAAGGCGACGAUCCCUAGCUGGUCUGAGAUGAUGACCAGCCACCAUGGAACUGAGAUACGGUCCAGACGCAUACGGGAGGCAGCAGUGGGGAAUAUUGCACAAGGGGCGCAAGCCUAAUGCAGCCAUGCCGCGUGUAUGAAGAAGGGCUUCGGGUUGUAAAGUACUUUCAGCGGGGAGGCGUUACCCGCAGAAGAAGCACCGGCUAACUCCGUGCCAGCAGCCGCGGUAAUAC
rnacentral:rRNA from 1 species